CUUCCAGUAGCACCUUAGAGACCAACUAAGUUUGUUAUUAGUAUGAGCUUUUGUGUGCAUGCACACUUCUGAAGAACUUCGUUGGUCUCUAAGGUGCUACUGGAAG